rnacentral:rRNA from 1 species
UACGGAGGGUGCAAGCGUUAAUCGGAAUUACUGGGCGUAAAGCGCGCGCAGGCGGUUUGUUAAGUCCGCUGUGAAAUCCCCGAGCUCAACUUGGGAAUUGCAGUGGAUACUGGCAAGCUGGAGUAUGGUAGAGGAAGGUGGAAUUCCCGGUGUAGCAGUGAAAUGCGUAGAGAUCGGGAGGAACACCAGUGGCGAAGGCGGCCUUCUGGACCAAUACUGACGCUCAUGCACGAAAGCGUGGGGAGCAAACAGG